AAAAAAAACGCAUUUGCAUAUCAAAUAAGCGGAGCAAAAGAAACUAACAAGGAUUCCCUUAGUAACGGCGAGUGAACCGGGAAAAGCUCAAAUUUGAAAUCUGGCUGUCUUCGAUAGUCCGAGUUGUAAUCUAUAGAAGCGUUUUCCGUGCUGAACUGUGUAAAAGUCCCUUGGAACAGGGUAUCAAAGAGGGUGAUAAUCCCGUACUUGACACAAUCAUCAGUGCUCUGUGAUACGCUCUCUACGAGUCGAGUUGUUUGGGAAUGCAGCUCAAAAUGGGUGGUAAAUUCCAUCUAAGGCUAAAUAUUGGCGAGAGACCGAUAGCGAACAAGUACCGUGAGGGAAAGAUGAAAAGCACUUUGGAAAGAGAGUUAAACAGUACGUGAAAUUGUUAAAAGGGAAACGAUUGAAGUCAGUCGUGUUCAUUGGAUUCAGCUAGUUCUUCUAGUCUACUUCUUUUGAACGGGUCAACAUCAGUUUUGUCCGGUGGAUAAAGGUAUUAGGAAUGUGACUUCCUCGGAAGUGUUAUAGCCUAGUAUCACAUACACUGGGGGAGACUGAGGACUGCAGCUCGCCUUUUGGCCGGGGUUCGCCCACGUUCGAGCUUAGGAGUGACAUAAGACCA
rnacentral:rRNA from 1 species